rnacentral:rRNA from 1 species
CCUACGUGAGGCAGCAGUGAGGAAUAUUGGUCAAUGGGCGCGAGCCUGAACCAGCCAAGUAGCGUGAAGGAUGACUGCCCUACGGGUUGUAAACUUCUUUUAUAAAGGAAUAAAGUGAGGCACGUGUGCCUUUUUGUAUGUACUUUAUGAAUAAGGAUCGGCUAACUCCGUGCCAGCAGCCGCGGUAAUACGGAGGAUCCGAGCGUUAUCCGGAUUUAUUGGGUUUAAAGGGAGCGUAGAUGGGUUGUUAAGUCAGUUGUGAAAGUUUGCGGCUCAACCGUAAAAUUGCAAUUGAUACUGGCAGUCUUGAGUACAGUUGAGGUAGGCGGAAUUCGUGGUGUAGCGGUGAAAUGCUUAGAUAUCACGAAGAACUCCGAUUGCGAAGGCAGCUUACUAAACUGCCACUGACAUUGAUGCUCGAAAGUGUGGGUAUCAAACAGGAUUAGAGACCCCAGUAGUC